UUUCCGUAGGUGAACCUGCGGAAGGAUCAUUAUCAAAACAGCGGACUUCGGUCCUUGCUGCACCCUUGUCUUUUGCGUACCGUAUGUUUCCUCGGCGGGCUUGCCUGCCGGUUGGACAACUUUAUAACCUUUUUAAAUCUUCAAUCAGCGUCUGAACAAUAUACAAUAAUUACAACUUUCAACAACGGAUCUCUUGGUUCUGGCAUCGAUGAAGAACGCAGC
rnacentral:misc_RNA from 1 species